rnacentral:rRNA from 1 species
AUUGAACGCUGGCGGCAUGCCUUUACACAUGCAAGUCGAACGGCAGCACGGGAGCAAUCCUGGUGGCGAGUGGCGAACGGGUGAGUAAUAUAUCGGAACGUGCCCAGUCGUGGGGGAUAACGUAGCGAAAGCUACGCUAAUACCGCAUACGAUCUAUGGAUGAAAGCGGGGGGAUCGCAAGACCUCGCGCGAUUGGAGCGGCCGAUAUCAGAUUAGCUAGUUGGUGGGGUAAAAGCCCACCAAGGCGACGAUCUGUAGCUGGUCUGAGAGGACGACCAGCCACACUGGAACUGAGACACGGUCCAGACUCCUACGGGAGGCAGCAGUGGGGAAUUUUUGGACAAUGGGCGAAAGCCUGAUCCAGCAAUGCCGCGUGCAGGACGAAGGCCUUCGGUUGU